rnacentral:rRNA from 1 species
AGCAGCCGCGGUAAUUCCAGCUCCAAUAGCGUAUAUUAAAGUUGUUGCAGUUAAAAAGCUCGUAGUUGAAUUUCGGGAUUGACGUGAUGGUCAUGCCUUAAGGGGUAUGAACUGUUACAGUUGAUUUCUCACCUUCUGGAGAAACUUGAUGUCCUUUAUUGGGUGUCUUGCGGAUCCAGGACCUUUACCUUGAAAAAUUAGAGUGUUUAAAGCAGGCAUUUUUGCUCGAAUACAUUAGCAUGGAAUAAUAGAAUAGGACGGCAUGGUUCUAUUUUGUUGGUUUCUAGGAUCACCGUAAUGAUUAAUAGGGAUAGUUGGGGGCAUUAGUAUUCAAUUGUCAGAGGUGAAAUUCUUGGAUUUAUUGAAGACUAACUACUGCGAAAGCAUUUGCCAAGGAUGUUUUCAUUAAUCUAAGAACGAAAGUUAGGGGAUCGAAGACGAUCAGAUACC